UUUCCGUAGGUGAACCUGCGGAAGGAUCAUUCAUAAUAAAGUGUUUUAUGGCACUUUUUAAAAAUCCAUAUCCACCUUGUGUGCAAUGUUAGAUCUCGUCAAUCUUGGCGAGAUUUUUAUACAUCAACUCAUUCUUUAACUAAUAUGUCUGAAAAAUAUUAUGAAUACUUAAUUCAAAAUACAACUUUCAACAACGGAUCUCUUGGCUCUC
rnacentral:misc_RNA from 1 species